GGAGAGGGUAUAGCUCAGUGGCAGAGAGCAUGUUUACCAUGCAUGAGGUCCUGGGUUCAAUCCCCAGUACCUCCA
rnacentral:tRNA from 1 species